UUUUUUUUAUUUCAGGCCUAUGUUCCCAUUUAUCAUAAUACCAACAUUCAUCUUAACCAGUACAGACGUUUAACCAUGAAAAGGUAACAAACAGAUAAACAGACUUUCAUUUAUAAUAUUAGUAUGGAUUAUCACAUUUCCGACCGGAUCCAGGAUUUAAGAAUAAAUCAUUAACUAUCAAUAUCAACUGCAAUUGCUUAUUAAUUAUAGUAAAAUUAAUAUUAUCUUAAUUAGUAUAACUAUUAGUACUCGUAUCAUCAAAUUAUAUGUGUAUAUAAACUCUAUUGCAUGACCAAUCCAGUCAGUGCCAGCAGACUAAUUCAAUCGAAGUACAAUGAAAACCUUACUCUGCAUCGUCGUCGUCGCUUGUGUAUGCGCAGCAUAUACAUCGGCUGCCGUGAUACCGCCCAGCAAUGGAACGGCCGUGGUCGAAAAAAAAGGCGGCUUCUUUGUCAAUAUCGCACGCAGAGCGUAUAGUCUUGGCCUGCAAGUUGGUGGGAUGGGCGGUAUCUUAGGGACGACUCAGUUGGCCGCAUCGAUGGCUGGCGAUAAUUUCGGAAAAAAAUUAUUAAAUAUAAUUUUGAUGAGUCGACUUUUUCAACCAAAAACCAAUCAAAAAACAAAUUGAAAUAAUAUAAGUAGAAUAUAAUUUGUUGUGAAAAAAAAAUGUUGUGUUUCAUUAUAUUGAUAUUUUGAUAAUAAUUAUGUUUGCCUUUUUUAUUUUUGUAUUUGGUUUUUAUUAGGACACUUUAACUUUGAUAAAAAGAGCAGAAAAGAU